CCUACGGGUGGCUGCAGUGAGGAAUAUUGGUCAAUGGGCGGGAGCCUGAACCAGCCAAGUCGCGUGAAGGAAGAAGGUACUUAGUAUUGUAAACUUCUUUUGUCGGGGAACAAAGGCGGAGACGCGUCUCCGGAUGAGUGUACCCGAAGAAAAAGCAUCGGCUAACUCCGGGCCAGCAGCCGCGGUAAUACGGAGGAUGCGAGCGUUAUCCGGAUUUAUUGGGUUUAAAGGGUGCGCAGGCGGGAGAUCAAGUCAGCGGUAAAAUGUCGGGGCUCAACCCCGGCCGGCCGUUGAAACUGGUUUUCUAGAGUUGGAGAGAGGUAUGCGGAAUUCGUGGUGUAGCGGUGAAAUGCAUAGAUAUUAGGAGGAACAUCAGGGGCGAAGGCGACUUACUGGACUGUAACUGACACUGAGGCACGAAAGCGUGGGGAGCAAACAGGAUUAGAUACCCUUGUAGUC
rnacentral:rRNA from 1 species